GCAGCACCCGCCUCUGGUGGAAGGGGACUGAACACCACGUGGGCUCUGGAUGGGGGUGCAGCAUGGCGGGGUGCGGCUUGAUGACCGCACCUGCUUCGUGAGUGGCUUCUAGAGCAGGGCAAAGGUUUCUCCAGUUCACAAGCUGCGGGGGGCAAGGGAGCAGAAGGAGCAUCUGGGCUGAGCACUUGGCUUCUAACCACGGCUCUGUCUGCUGGGCUGAUCACAGAGGCGCGCCGUGAGGACCUGCGCCUCCCUGCAAAGACACCGACGGGCAGGCGGGCACCCCGGGUCGGGAGAGGCCGGCGGGGUGGGACAGCAGCACCAGGAAGGGGAGACAAGCACUGGAGCCCGGCAUCCACGCAGCCUGCCCUGAGGCACACCCCGCUGGGGAGAGCCAGGCUUCCGGGAGCCGUGUUGCCCGGUGUCCAGCGCCUGUGCUCCGCACUCACACUGGGAAGGGGUGGCCAUCGCCCGGCUCGCACCUUCCUGCCAUGUCCCUGGGCGGCUGUGGAGCUGGGACGCAUCUCACAAAAGCCGCCUGCCUGGUGGCCGCCCUGUCACCAGCAGAGCUGUCAGGUAUGUCCGUCACGCUGCUUUGUGGCCGCAUCACCCGCACAAUUGGCAAGAUUAGGUGGCCACGGAGGGCGGCAAGUGAGGUGGUAAUUGUGUUCAAGGGAAAAGGGUUGAGAAAGACUUUCUCCCCGUGCCUGUGAAAGGAGUGACAGCUAAUAUUUGAAAGCGG
rnacentral:lncRNA from 1 species